AGCACGAUUGAACAACAGAUUGACGAAUCGAAACGAAGAAGAACAAAGCAAAGGUUUGCAGAGAAUGAGAAAAGAAAAUAUCAGAAAGAGGAAAAAUAGAAGAAAUUUACGUCAGUUUUUUUUAGAGAGAGAAAAACGAAUUUUGAAAAAAAAACUAAAUAAAAAUAAAAACAAAAAUUGAUAAGUCCCAAUAUCCCAGCUCCCCACUAUCCUCUCAUCCUCAACCACCCUCUCACACAAACUCUCAAUCCUAUCCAAACUCUCGCAGUCUAUAGAGGCAAAAAUUAACCUCCACGCUUAUGCAAGGAUUCGAACACAUGACCCCCAACACACUAACUUCUUUACCACUCGAACUAGCAUGCUCAUUCUAAUAUAAAUUAAUAGACAAUUUUAUAUAAGCUCGC
rnacentral:lncRNA from 1 species